CAGUAAAUAUUAUGUAGAAAAAAUAUACAUUUAAUUUUAGCAAUUGUUAUGCAUGUGUUUUACUAUCUUUAAAUGAAAUAGUGUGGUGAUAUAUCGGCUUUAUAUUGGCCACCAUGCUCUCUUAGAUAUCGGUCAUCAAAAAAAUCUAUAUGGGUCGACCACUAAUCUUGAAUCUUGGAGGUGGGCUCUUUUUACUUUGGGCCAGUAAGUAACCACCUAGCAACCACCAGAGCACCCUAGCAACCGCAUAGCAACGCAUUAAAACCAUUCCGAACAUCUCAGCAACCAUAUAGCAGCAUUCUGGCAACCUCCCACAAACCAUAAUGCGAUGCCGGCGAAGGACCACUCAGAAAUCAAUAUCUGGACUAUAUCAUACAGUGUGAUCUGCUUGAUAUCAUCUCUGUUCUGUCAUUCUAAUAUGAUUAUGAAACUCCUAAUACAUACGAUCAGUCUAAAUUUGCCUCGGAACGAGCGCACAGAGACCCAGAAGCCCACAGCAUUCGCUCUAAGUGUUCAGGUCUGCCUUCCAUUUUGCUAUGGAGUGAUGCUGAUGUCUGAGACCUCCCCUCCGCCUGUGUGUUUUGGAGUUGUAUCUUAUUUACUGUAUCUUAUAAUUGAUUAAUUUUAGGGGUUUUGGCCUGUUUCGUUCUUGCUCUGUUGUGAUACUUUUUGUUCUUUUUUUGGGGUUUGUUGAUUUUCUUUAUUAAGAGUGUGAAAACUGGUUCAAGAUUGUUGUCUGUCACUCUGCCUCUUCACAACAGCAGUUCUGGGUCUGUAACAUCCACCGAUGUGUGCGAACGGGAACGAGAGUGAUCGCUAGAGGUCAGGUCCGUCAGAAGCGCUCGGAAGGCGAAAUAGACGCGAAGUCGAUCUGCUUCCGGCUGCGAUGCUUUUUAUUUAUCAACAGGAGAAAAGCCAGACUCCAUAAACAUGUCACAGAAGUCACAAGAAGUCAUUCGUUUUUGUUUCUCAAAGCGUAACAUUUUCCAACUACGUCUUGACUCAGGCAACAACGUUCCGCUGUGUUGUAAGACAUUUUCUCGUCGAUAUCCGCGCUCACGCGAACAGUUACACACGUGUAUGGUUUUUUCCAGUUUUUUUACUGAAAAAGUCACAAAUAAUGCAGGACCAAAGUUUAUGUGCCUUUCAUCUAGCUUAUUUGUAACUUAUUUCCUGGCUGUAUAUCAGAAACCAACAAACUUCUUGUAUUUUCCACUCUCGAUCAUGUUAUGAGUGUCCCGCAGUCUGUUCUGUUCGUUUCCCUCAGAAAGGUCAAGCCAUAUCCUUUCCCCCCCGUCAAACGAGACUCAUUUGCAAUUCUGAAUGUGUUACCGGGCCCUUAUGGAUUCAUUUGAACCGCCUUUCGCUUUCAGUAUUUCAUGAACUGCUCCGGAUAGACGCCACGAUCUGUAAAACGGAUAAGCGGUUACACUUUUUGCUGAUAUUGUCAUCGACUCUUGCUCAAGCUUUACUCUAAAGCAUACGAGACCAUAACAACAAACUAACCACUGAAACCAAAGGAUUUAAUUGAAUUGGAACUAAUUCAGCACUGUUCAGACUGAAAUAUUUUAUUGCUUUAUGAUGCAAUUGACCCUUACAAUCUAAACCUUAAAUUUCAGCCAUAAUGCUUUCUAUUUUCUUCUCAUGACUAAAUUUAUGGGCUAUAAUUAUGCUAAUUGAACUGUCUAAUUUGCAUUAAAGGGAGGGGCUAGACUAAAUUAGCAAACUGAGGUGUUGCUCAAGCACAGCGCACAUACAGAAAUGCCUGAGUUGAACUCAGGAUGCUUUGACAUGCAAUGAAAUACCUAAUUUAUAGUUUUUAUGAAUGUUUCACUACCAAAAGGAAACAAAUGCUGUCUGUACAUAUGUGUUCCCUUAUUAUUUUAUUUGAUUUUAUUUUUUAACCUGGCCAAAAAAUGGUUUCGGGGAACAAGAUACACACACACCAAUAUGAACUGGUUUUUAUAUUUAUGGCAAUUAACAUAAAAACACAAUUUGUCUUCUGUAUUUUGAUAUCAUACCAGUACCAGCUUUCAUUUGUAAAGCCAUUUAUGUGACUUGUGGGAAUUGGGGAGAGACAUGAGUGUAUCCAGUUUAUGAGUUUGAUGUAAUAAAUGCAAAUAGAAGAUAAACUAUUAAAGAAACAUAUUUUCUCA